UCUCUAUCUAAUAUCUUAGACAAGCUUGUUUAUAUCUUGUAAUAAUUGUAUACAAGCGAGAAUCAACUUUAUGCUUCUACUAGAUUUAUGUAUUCUGGCCUUGCAAUGUGCUAUGCCAUAAAAAUUGUAUCAAAUUAUGGAAUUUUGGUUGUCAACUCAUAUCUUCCCAUUCUUUGCAGUAGGAAACUUCUAUUUUAUUCUAGCGAGGUCAUUGUUUAUCAGUUGUCAAAGUUAAAUUUCUUCCUCUUCUUUCAUCUUGAAAACUUUGGUCUUAUCUAGAGGUUUAGAUGGCAGGACUCAUGUAGUUGAUCAAAUCAAAAGGACCAUCUGAUGAGAAGAUAAUAUAUUUGUGUAAGGCUUUGUUAUGCGAGGAUGUCAUAGACGAUUCACCUAAAGAAGCAAACAAUGAAAGCUUAAUGGCCUUAAGUAGCGUGUAUUUCAUUUUCCUUUAAUCUCCGGGGUGAAGAACACCUGCUUUUACUAACUUGAAGAGAGAUUAUGAAAGUUUUUGAUACUUAUUAUUUAAAGUUUAUGGGUGAACUUAGGACCAGGACUUGUGAAUGAAAAGUAAGGUUGGGCUAUUUUAACCUGCGAACUUAGGUGGUGAAUGACUUCCAGUUGUCCACGAGGAACGUAUGUGUAGCUAGCUACUAACAUAUAUAUUCGUGUACUUGGUUUUACUGUGUUUAUUGGUUUUACGUGUUUUUCAAUUUAUGGUGCAUGUUCAAUGCUAAAUUCCGGUUAAAAAUUAUGAAUCAUGUUAAUUUUCUUGCAGAUUUAAAUGUGUUUUCAAAAAAUCAUACUUAUUACCUCCAUUAAGACUUAUGAAUCACACCUUUUGUCUUUAUUUUCUUGCAGAUAUAAAUGUGUUUUCAAAAAAUCAUACUUAUUACCUCCAUUAAGACUUAUGAAUCCACCUUUUGUGUGGACUUGUGAUCUAAUUGAUGAAUAAAGUACUUGUUGUCAUAUGAUUUUGAAUCGAGUAUGUAAAUAUUACUCCAUUCAGCUCCCUUGUGGUCUAUCCUAGUUGAAGAUAGACAUUAAUCAUUAAUUUGUACAUAAUACAUUAAUCUAGAAACUUCAAUUAUAAUUGUCAUGAAUCAUAAGAAACGAUGAAGUCACAAGUGCUUGUUAUAGGACAAUAGGAAUGCACUUCCCAGUAGCUAGCUCAAGAGGAGGAGAGUCCAUUGUCCUAUAUAAACCACACCAACCUCCUAUACGGUCGAUGUGAGAUCGUUUCCCCAGGAUCAGUCCAUAACAUUCGUCCCCCCAUAAGGACCAACGUGCUCGUUGGUCACAAUUGGUUCUAGGCCACCACUAUGAGGUUUGACUCUGAUACCAUUUGUUAUAGGACAAUAUGAAUGCACUUCCCAAAAGCUAGCUCAAGAGGAGGAGAGCCCAUGUCCUAUAUAAACCACACACCAACCUCCCAUACGGUCGAUGUGGGAUCCUUUCCCUGGGAUCAGUCGAUAAUAGUGUUCCAAAAUUUUUCAUCUUUGACCCAAAAAAACUAAUUAAUACGAACACUGUUAAAUGGAAGAGUUAGUGUUUGUUCUUUAUUUUGUGAUUUCAGUUUCAAUGAUGGAAAUCAUUACCUACUAAACAUGAAGUGUUGAUUUUCUUAAUUAUCUUGACACUCUUUAACAUUAUGCUUAUGUGGUGCUGGCUGUUACCAUGAUUCCUGUAGUCAGUACAGUAUUUUCGCUGGUUGACACAUAUCUAAUGUAAGCUAUCAUUAAGCGCUUGGUCCUUAAGCACCUAUUUGAACAUUAAAGUAUCUACGAGGACUCUUUUGUAUGUCUUCUAGAUAGGAAUGGCAACGGUUCGAACUCGGGGCGGAUCAUGCAUAAUCCGAGUCCGACCCUACAAGAAGUCGGAUUAUAAAUCCGACUCCGAAUCCAGCUCUGACAUCCGACUCCCAAUCUCCGAAUCCGAUGUGACUUCCAGAUACAAAGUCCGAUUCGACCCGAGUCGGAGUUCCUUCCCCUUUUCGUCCACGGUGAACACUCCAUUAAGGUGGGGUUUUUUCUUUGCAUUUUUUAAAAUAAUCACAUGACUAAUUUUUAAAUUAAACUUCCUAAUUCGAACCAAAUACAUUGACCUUAAAGAAAAAUAAUAUUUGUACUUAACAAUAAUAAUCUUUUACACACAGCCAAUACAAAUCCAACAAAGUUCAAUUAUCUAAUACUAUUAAACUAAUACAAUUCAUUCAAGUCUUCAAUCCAAGUUUUCAUCAAACAUAAACCUACAUAAUAUACAAAGCAACACUUAAGUAUCAUAAAGUCUACAUCCAAAUUAGUAAUAGAAACAGAAAAAAUUAUGUGCUUAGAAAAAAAACAGAAAAAGAAAAAGUUAAACAAAACAGAAAAUGAAAAAAAGAACAAUGAAAGAAUGGAUACUGGAAAAAGAAAGGAACCAAAAAAAAAAGAGAAACAAGUCCAGAAUCGUCAUCAACUCAUCAACAUCAUUAUAAUAACUUAUCAUUAUCAACACCAAUUGGAUUUCUAUUCAUCAACAUCAAACGAAAAUCAUCAAAACACGAAAAAUAUAAAUUCUGAAAAUGAAAAACUCGAAAAUCCCAGAAAACAAAAAAAUGGAGAAUCAAAAAACGAAAAAAAUCAAUAAACACAAAUAUAAAAAUUCAGAAGACAUAAAGACACAAAUUAGAAAAGGAAAUAUGAAAGCAAACCGAAAAGUCAGAACAUGGGCAAAAUAUGAUCCAGAUUCCAAAACAACAAUUUAAGAAAUAAAAAAUUAUAAGAUUUCAAAGGUGCGGAUCGAAGUCUUAUCAUUUUUGAUUUCUUAAAUUGCUGUUUUGGAAUCUGGAGCAUAUUUUGCCCAUGUUCUGACUUUUCGGUUUGCUUCCAUAUUUUGCCCAUGAUCUGACUUCUUGUAGGGUCAGACUCGGAUUGUACAUAAUCCGCCAAGAGUCUGACCCAUUGCCAUUCGUAACCGAGAGAAAGUCGAUUGAGGAUGUAGUAAAUAUUGAAUGGGUCAUUAGUAAGUGUGUUAAGCACGUUAGGUCGAUCUUACACAAGAUUGGAGAUAGACCAUGGAAGAAAAACUCGGCCGUUCCGUUAUGGAACGGCCGCUUUGUAACGGAUUUGAGAGUGGCCGUUCCGUUAUAUACCGUUAUGUAACGUUUUUUUUUAAUUCACAAGAUUCUCGGCGUUACGCCGUUACAGAACGGUGUAACGCCGUUCUAGAACGUUAUACAGGAGCAAAAUGACCGUUCUUUUCAGAUGGGGUCUAGGGAAGAAGAAGAUGACAAAUUUACUUGCGGUGGGAAGAUUUUAGGCAGAAAAAGUAAGAUUUUUGACAUGAAAUAAAGCAAAAAUUAUAUAUUUCGUAUCUUGAAUUUCACAAAAAAUCCAACAUAAACCAACAACAAAAUUAUCUAUAUAAACCCCUAACCUAAAAUAGUAGAAUACAUAAAAAUUGAAAACUAAACAAAGUAGUAGAGGAGAGUACCAGAUUAAGAGCACAACACAUAAACCAAAUAAUUUUCAAAUACUCAGAUGAAGAAGCUGAAUGAAGAAAGGUGCUUUUUUUGAAAAAUAAAAAAGGCUGAGAUGUGUAAUUGUGUACUGUAGAAAGGAAGAAGAAGAUGUUUUUUAAAAAAAUAAAAAAGGCAGAGAUGUAUACUGUAGAAGAUGAUGAUGUGUUAUCAUAAGUUAUGUAUUUGGAUGACAAGUUGACAACUAUGUGAAAGUUGUAGGGUAGGUCAGUAGGUGUACUUGUACCAGUGUGUAAUGUUAGUCUUUGUUUUUUUUUUUGACCGGAUAUGUUAGUCUUUGUUAGAUAUUUAUUAAAAAUGAGUUUUUUAUUUUUUUGUGAGUGGGCUUGUAAUAAGAUGCAUUAUUGGUGCAUCAAAUUUUCAUAAACCAAGGUAUAAUAUAAUGAUUUACCCAAAAAAAAUACUUCUAAAGUUCAUAAAAAAAAGGUACAAUAUAAUACAAUAAUGUAAUUACUUGUCCUCCUAUAAAAAUUGUAAUAACUUGUGUUAUGUUAAUUUAUUUAUGAUUUAGGCUAA